ACAUCAUCAGAUUAUAGUUUUAUAGUUUUUAUAAUAAAUUUCAUACAAUUAUAUCGUUUCAGGGUGGAAUAUCAAUAUCAAUUGACCACCUGGUGUUUGGAACAAAAACAAAACAAUCUAGACUAUAUAACAGAUUUGAUCUGAAAUUAGAUGAUGGACGUGUCCCAAAUGGUAUCUUAUAUAGUGCACUAGUUUUGACCAGGGCCCCUACAGAAUAAGGUGUCAUGUGUAAUGCACCCCUACAUGUUGUUGUAUUCUCAUGACCUCAGCCAGAUGUUCAUGUAAGGUAUGUUCCAAAUGGCACCCUAUUCUCCAUCUAAUGUUCCAAAUGGCACCCUAUUCUCCAUCUAGUGUUCCAAAUGGCACCCUAUUCUCUAUAUAGUGCACUACCUUUGACCAGGGCCUGUCAUGCCAAAUAGUUUCCCCCUGCCAAAAAGUGUCACAAUGGGAUUCGAUGAGUUCUAGCUUCUGUUGCUAGGGCUGUUGCUAGAACUUGCAAAAUUCUGACCGGAUUACGUGAUGAACCAAAGCGUCCGUUGCUAUGCUGGUUGCUUGGAUCUAUUUCACCUCAUAAGCGCUCGCUCAGUCCGCGCAAAAUUAUUACCUCAGAAUUGCUCUCCAAGGACGGUGUUUUUGAGGAUGACAACCUGCUGACGACCUGCUGCUUCAGAGGACCAAAAAGAUUGGAAAGAGAACACUCUUUAACGUUACCAUAUAUUUGUCUUUAUAUAUGAACAUUUGUUAAAUGGGAAGAAAUAAUGUAGGCUGUAUAUAGAUUGACAUUGCUAGCUACUGUACUUAUUUACCUCAGCCUGUCUGGUCAGCUAGCUAGUCACAGUAGCCAGCCAGCUAGCCAACUAGCUAGCCAACUAGCUAGCCAUACAAUUUUAUUUAGCUAACGUUAGCUAGCUAGCUACUGUAACUGAUAUUGUAGCUUUCUGUUUGUAUAUAUCUUGCACUUCAAUGGCAUCCCUCAGAGAUUUUCUUUUAACUUUCCAACCAGGCGAAGUACAAUGAAGGCACCGCUGAUCUCGACAAGAGGCGCAACGUUAAGCAGUUCUAUUUAGAUAACUGGACGGAUUUAACUAUGUACAACCAUUUUCCAUCUCGCUAGCUGGUCAUCUACAUGUCGCUAGCUAUACAUAUAGUUCAGUGGGAGGACGGCUUAUAAUAAUGUCUGGAAUGGAGUAAAUGGAAUUGGAUCAAACCAGGGGUCACCAGGGCACAUGAUCGGGGUUGACCUCAUUCACUAAAUCCAGGAAUGGCAACAGCUGGUGUCUGACGGCGACCGAUCACUUUACCAAGUGGAUGGAGGCAAUACCCAUUAAGGUGAGACUGAACAUGGAUGGACACGGCGCAGGAGAAACGGAAGGAGAUCUACCGGAGCAGAAUCAAAAAAGGGGACUAAGUGCUACGACAUCCGGGCGAAAUACUUGGUUUGGAAGAAGAACUAAAGGAAGGCGAGACCUGGGAGAUCUCGCUGCUCUUUCACUCCUAGUUGAGGUCACCAUCUGUUAAAGGGUUACCUCGGUGGAAGCCACCGAUCUUCUCCAGUUGGGAUAAUCAACCACUGAAAGCACUGACACCCUUCGGUGAAAGCCCGUGAGACAAACUAUGUUAAGCUUUGGUUGACAUUUUGAGAAAAGCAAGAAAUGGUAGAUAUGCUGAGCUUAUAAAAAUGUACCUCUUCAAUGUACCUCCAAAUGACUUCAGGACCAUCGACUGUCUGAGCCCCCCAGGAGGUAUCCCAUCUACCAGAGCCAGUGUGAGUUUAGAUCAGUCUGAUUCUCUGUGCUCUGAGUCGGAGGGGGACCAGCUUGAGUUGAGGUUAUACCUUCCAAAAGUGUUGAAAAGUACAUAUCUCCCAUUUUAUAACACUGCACUAAUCCAUCAAAUUUUCUCACAGUAAAGUGUGUUUACCUGUGUGUUUACGUCUCUGUCUCCUACCCUGUUCCCUUUUAACUCUUCUCCUGUUGUCCAGGACCUAGGGGGUUGUGCCCAACACCCAGAUGUGGAUCCACCUAAUGUCCUCUAUUACCAACCACCCUGCAGCUACUGUUGUUGUCAUUAUCUGCUAAGAAUAAUAUUUUGCUCUAUCAUACUGGGCACAUAAUAUGUUUGAUUGCCAUGUGAGUGUACAAAAAAAAAAUCUGUGAAAAAAUAAAUGAAUUACACAACUGUUACCAAAAACAAUCAAAGUUUUAUGUAUUUAAAAUCUUACAUAUUGCCAGGUUGGUUUUCACAGCUGAUUCCCAAGGUGUUCAUUAUUGUAAGUUAUAAGGGAUCCUUUGAUUUGUAUUUCUUUGUUCCACAUUAUUCAUUGUUGUAUCCUAGAUCCUACAAUAGAUACAUAUAUAUUCAACCACAAGGGGUGUACUGAUCAGCUAUGUGAGAUAG